UGGAGAGCAGGGACUGGAUCACUAAAAAUUGCCCUGUUCUGUUCAUUCCCUCUGAAGUAUCUGUCCCCAGCCACUGCCAGAAGAUAGGUCACUGGGCUAAAUGGACCAUUGGUCUGACCCAGUGUGGCCAUUCUAAUGUUCUUAUCAAUGAAAUCAUCUGUCCCCAGACACCCAGGUAAGUGCAUUGCCCACCUGUGCAUCCUCUGAGUGAUCUCCAGGCUCAGCUUUCUCCUUUCUUCAUUUUUUUCUUGGAACCAGAAAGAUUGAGCAGGACAUCUGGCCCCUCCUCCUCCCCCCAUCUUGUCUAUUCUAGGUCCUCUGUAUCAAACCUUCAUUUCUGCAUUAUUAGUUCCGGCAUGAAAACCUCCACCCCACGGCUCAGACAUUCUUCAUAGAUUCCAAGGCUAGAAGGACCCAUUGUGAUAAUUAAGUCUGAUCUCCAGUAUAACACAGGCCAGAAAACUUCCCCACAAUAAUUCCUUUUGAACUAGAGCAGAUCUUUUAAAAAAAGAAUCUAACCUUAUUUAAGAGUUGCCAGUGAUUGAGAAUCCACCCCAAUCCUUGGUAAAUUGGUCCAGUAGUUAAUUACUCUCAAUGUUCAAAAAUUCACCUUAUUUCCAGUUUGAAUUUGUCUAGCUUCAACUUUGGGCCAUUGGAUAUAGUCAUUAAUGCAGGGCCAAUUAUACUCUAGACUCCCCUGUGCAGGAGUGUGCAGACACCCCAUAGUGUGACUCUGUAAAGGGGUCCAAGAUGACUCAAAAGUCCUGACAAACUUUUUUUCAAUGCUGGUGAAAAGGAACCUUUGCAGCUGCAGAGAUAAUCUACCACAGGCUGCCAGUGGGGAUACAACACAACCUGCAGGGCUAAAAAUUCUUGCUCAUAAUUGCUGAGCUUAGAGAGUUAGCUGGGAGCAAAGAACAGGCUCUUGUUCCCUGUGGGGGUCAGCCUCAACCACAGGUGCUUAGCCAGUGUGUUACAAGCAUCCCUAACCAGGGGUACAUGUCUAAAGCAAGUCCGGAGAUCCAGUAUCCAUAAGGGCCCAUGCUUUGCAAUACAUUCACCCUUGGCUGUGAGCAGGGACAGAACCCUAUUUCUUCCACCCGCAAAAGCACAAGCUUUGAAUUACUGGGGUUAAACCAGAGUCUCCUCAAGCCAUUCCAUCACAUGAACAAGGCCAUCUCAGCCAUGGUGAGAUCUGCUAGUUUGUCCAACACUCAAUGCUCGAGCCAGGUUAAUAGUACCAUUGAUGGAAAGGGAUCCUCUUCCCAAUGACCCCAUUCGAAGAUUUCAGACUGUUAAGCAAUUAAUGAUUGACACUGAACUGUGGAUCCAACCUUGGAUCCAAAAUCAACAGGACCAGUGAUAGUGUUCAGGAGGCAUGACUAAAGAGGAUGACAGAGCCUUGUUUGGAAAUCAUGAACAGGUUUUAGGUGGAGGAGGGAUCAAAGAAAUUCUAAUCUGCCGUAUUUGACAUGUUACUCCUGACGGAGACAUUUCUGCCUUUUGACCUGGAACCGAGUCUUCAGGCACAGUCAGCAAAACUGAGAUUUGGAUCUGACUGGUGAUAGCAUGGAGUGAAUCAGACCUGAUGCUUGGCACUGGAGGGCAAGAAUCUUUCUUCUGCAUCAGUUCAAUCCUAGGUUUCAUCUUUGGACCUGGAGAGCACCAAAUCUGAAUAAUAUCCAUCAAAUCCAAAGCACACUUUCUAGUUCUCAGUGCUCCUUCUGUUCCUUCCAGGGAUUCCUUAUAGGCUCCUAUAGUACUUGGAACCAAUGAUCCGACCCACCUCUGCCUCCAUUGGCUCUAGAUAGAGGCCGACACCAUACAGAAUCCUUUUGCCACGGCUGGGAGCUGGUGGAGUGGAGCAGACUGGAGCCAGGCUGCUCCGCCUCCCACCGCUGCUGGUGAAUGUCUGUUGGGCGGGGGGGUGGCGGUAGAUAGGGGUCGGAGCAGUUAGGGGAUGAGGGGUUGGGUAGGGGGUGAUUGGGGACAGAGGUCUCUGCAGGGGGAGGUCAGAGAACAAGGAAGAGAGAGAGCAAAGUAAGUUUGAUAUAAUGUGGUCUCACCUAUAAUGCGAUGAGAUUUUUUGUCCCGAGGACUGCAUUAUAUUGGGGGAGAGGUGUAUAUAAAACUGGGGUGAAACAGGAUGGAGGGGAAAUUGGAAUCAUGCUUGUUACGGGGAGGAAUGGUAGCAGGGACAUAGGCAAGGCUCUGCAGCAUCAGAGCUGGGAAGGGAGAUAUAGGGUAAAUGCUCUGCAGUGUCAGAGCUGGUAACAGAACGCUGGGGAACCAUCAGCACAGAGAUAAGCUCAAUCAGUGUGAAGGGCUUCAGAAUAUGCUUGCUUGGAAACUAACCCCAAUAAACAUUGCAUUGUUUGGUCUUCUGCUUUCUGUCUACAUGACAAGAACCAGGGGAGAGGGUGAAAGGAAAGCCCUCUAACACUACCUAUGGUCAUCAGGUGGGGAUGGCAAAGAGGAAGGAAUUCCAGUUGGAACCUGCAGUUCUGGUAUGACAUCUUCCUCCACCUAUGGAACCAGUGCACUGAGUGGGUCCUAGGUAUCUGCUACAGGGAUCCCUCAACCCCCAGUACAGCCAGAAAGAGGGGUCAACCAUUUGAGGCAGACACCAUUGGGAAACAUUAGGCCCUAGGGAGGCUGCGUCCAUAAGGGUACUGGCUUAAGUCUUGGCUCUCUCUGGAAGGAAAGGAGAAGGGAUAUGUUUGUGAGAUGUCUAAAUAUGAAAAUCGCUCCUGUUGAACUGCAAAGCCAUUAGUACCAGGAAAAUCAUGCCUAACCCUUGUAAGCGAGAAGGUUUCUGGAGUGAUGACAUGUCUCAAGAGGACUGGGCCAUAGAAGAUAGAGAGUUGGUAGGAGAGGAAGAUAUGAUGUUGUGUAGGUCUCUGUGUGCCCUGGUUUGUGGGGGGUCCCAAUGAUUGGCACUGACGGUAACAGUGCAUCCCUGGUUCCGAUGGUCUUUGGGCAGAUGAGUCAGUGUUGUGGUCGAGACCCACACUCAUGGACAGGAUCAGCAGGGGAAAGUUUCUGUGCUUCAGUACCUGACUCGCUGACUGAACGAGUUGAUCCUUCUUCUGCUCUUUACUCUCUAGCCUGGGGGAUUUUUGCAGAGCCAAUUCCUUAGGCUCGGAGAAGGAAUGCAUCUCUUAUGGACAGUCCUCAAUAGGGAUCAGUCCUGGUGCCUGUAAGAGUUCCUCCAGGGCAUCCUAUGAGAGCAACAGGCAGUGCCUGGGCUUAGAAAGCUGAAGACUCCAUGCCAAAGUACAUGCUGGGAGGGGUGCUGCUCAUUUGGCGAGGGUAAUGUACAGCAGGAUCUCCCUAGCCUAAAGCGGAGAGAUGGCUUCUCCAUUAAAUGUUUCCUAAGGCAAAGCUCACUGGCUUAACCAGUUCUCAGUGGGAAUGAGUGACAAAUACCACACUUCACUGAAAAUGUCUCAUGCAGACAGAGGCAGCAUUCGUGUGUUGCUGAUGAAGAUUUAGGGCAGGCAACAGUUUUUGAAGCCCAGGACUCUAGGCAUAGUCCCAAACUGCAGGGAGUGAAUCCCCAUCUGGGGAAACCACUACUCUAGAUAUAUUAAAACUAACUGCACUAAGCUAAAAGAAUAACUACUUACAGGUCUGAAAAGCUGGAGGAAGAAAGACAAGAUUCCAACUCAGGCCAUGCAGCAACAAGAACUGAAGGGGCAUCAAUCCACACUGCCUCUUACAGGGAGCAUGAGGAGAUCUACUGUAAGGUGCAGGCCUGACUCAGGUGCAUGCACAUCCACAUGUGAAAUACGGAGAGACGAACACUCAAAGAAGAAACACCGCUUGCUGGGAACAUGGUGCUACCAGUAAAACUGUUUGUACAGCACCUGACACAAUGGGGUCCUCCUCCAUAACUGGAGUUCUUACUUGCUACUGUAAUACAAAUACAAAGUGAUCACUGCCUGGUACGUAAAUUUAGAGCAGUGGCGAUCAGUAAAAUUCUCCAUAACAAAUUACAUAAACUUACAAAUGACUGAGGCUGAGAUCUGAAAAAGGGCUAUCAGCAUUUUUACUCCACAAAGGCUGAAGAGCAGGAAGAGAGAAGCCUAGUGUGACCCUGGCUCCAUUACCAAAGCAGCUAUCCAGAUGCAAUGCAGGAUACACAACCAAAAUUAACUACAAACUUUAGUUGAUUUGCCACAUAACUCUUUUGUGGGGUUUUAGCUGCACAUUUCAAGUGUUCUAUUGCUUGUGGGAGUUAUAGCGAAAUAAGGUCGAUAAAAGGCACAUCACCAUCUCCAUCCUUUCCAGAUGUUGCUUUGUUAAAAAGAUGGAAAACUGAAGUGCACUGUUCCAAUUCAAUGAGCCUUGAUCAGGGGUUUGGAGUUUGUGUUGCUUUCCCAACUGGAUUGGACAGCAGGUGAACAUGUUCUCUCAACAGGUCACAUCAGAGGAGUUAGUCAUAUUCAUGUGAGCAUGGAAGUUCACUGCUACUAUCAGAACAAAACCAGCACUGAUUCCCAAACCCUGCUACAAACUGCACUCUCAGGCACAUACUAAGGAUGUGCAACAUACAGGUGCAAUUCCUCUUACACAUUACUUGCUUAAGUACAAAGUGCAGCUGCAGUAGCAGAGCCACAGCUUAGCCACGCUGAGUAUGCUCCCACAUGUACUCAGUGUGGCUAAGCCAAGCCUCUGCUGCUGCUAUCAUGGCUACACUGCUACUUACACUCAUGAGAACUAACACAAGUAUGUAUGUGAGCAGGAGAAAUCAAGUCCCUGGCUUGUAGCACAGGUACAGCUUAAGAGAACUCCCAAAACAGAGAGGGCCUUGUUCUUUUGCCAGGCCACUUCUUGACCCUCAUUCUUUGACUUCCACACUAACUCCUCUGGUUUGGGUUUCCCCAACUAUCUGGAUCUGUGGUUGGACUAGUGAUGAGAACUUAACUCAGCUCUGCAAAGCAGGGAUAAGUUAGCUGACAGCUGUUCCAAAUCAUUCAGACCAUUUUGCACCUUCACAUACUUUUCUCCUGGCACUGCAUGACAGCCUACUUGAGCCCAUUCUCUGCAAGGCCAUCAGUGAUCUGCUGCUACAGAACAUGAAUGCAUUCAACAGAACUCAAGUUGGCCUGAAUGUUCUCAUUCCAGAAAAACCUGAUCUUGGAUAAAUGUAUAUUAAUCUAAAUGAGCACAAGUGCUCUCUUCACAUUUUAGUCAACUAUGCCAUUAGUGGGACAGUAAAAAUUUGGUGCGGACAAAAGUUUUGUCAGUAGUCCUAGUAUGAUCCCUCUGACCAGGAUGAAUUUAUAUGUUGGUUAUAAUUAAUUGGUUUAACUGUAGUCACUGCUAGGCAUAGCCUCUUUGCAUCUGUCAUAACUAGAUAGGUAAGGUAAGGGUUAAGUUUCUUUUACCUGGAAAGGGUAA